UACGGAGGGUGCGAGCGUUAAUCGGAAUUACUGGGCGUAAAGGGUGCGUAGGUGGUUAAUUAAGUUAUCUGUGAAAUCCCUGGGCUCAACCUGGGCAGGUCAGAUAAAACUGGUUAACUCGAGUAUAGGAGAGGGUAGUGGAAUUUCCGGUGUAGCGGUGAAAUGCGUAGAGAUCGGAAGGAACACCAGUGGCGAAGGCGGCUACCUGGCCUAAUACUGACACUGAGGCACGAAAGCGUGGGGAGCAAACAGG
rnacentral:rRNA from 1 species